UGUUGGUGUAUGAUGGUGAAUGUGAACACACGGAGGGUUGAGUAGAAUGUUGUUCUGCUUUAGUAAUUAAAUUGCAGUAACUACCAUUUAUUUCACGAAAUUUUUGUGAAUUAAGAGUUUUAAAUAUUCCAAUCUAUUAUACGGGAUGUUAGUGGAAUCGUCAAAAUAAUUUGAAACCUGAAGUCCUAUCUGCCAAUGACAAUAUCUUGUUCUUUUUGAAAGUGCAGUGCGUUGCGUUGCGGAGUAUGGAUGAAGGAGGUGGUUCUCAGCUGCUGUUCAUUCCACACCUGCCGCCUGCGCUUGUCAACUGGCAGCUUAUCAAGAGUCACUUCUCGCAGUUCGGCGAGGUGGCCAAUGUCAUCCU